UACGGGGGGGGCAAGCGUUGUUCGGAAUUACUGGGCGUAAAGGGCUCGUAGGCGGCCAACUAAGUCAGACGUGAAAUCCCUCGGCUUAACCGGGGAACUGCGUCUGAUACUGGAUGGCUUGAAUCCGGGAGAGGGAUGCGGAAUUCCAGGUGUAGCGGUGAAAUGCGAAGAUAUCUGGAGGAACACCGGUGGCGAAGGCGGCAUCCUGGACCGGCAUUGACGCUGAGGAGCGAAAGCCAGGGGAGCAAACGGG
rnacentral:rRNA from 1 species